rnacentral:rRNA from 1 species
GACGAACGCUGGCGGCGCGCCUAACACAUGCAAGUCGAGCGAUAACCAGUCCUGGACGUGGGACGAGCGGCGAACGGGUGAGUAACACGCGGGUAAUCUACCCUCGGUUUCGGGAUAGCCCGGGGAAACCCGGACUUAAUACCGAAUGGCCUCUCAGGCUCUCGGGCUUGAGAGAAAAGGUAGCUUCGGCCUCUGACCGAGGAUGAGCCCGCGGCCGAUUAGCUAGUUGGUGGGGUAAUGGCCCACCAAGGCGACGAUCGGUAGCUGGUCUGAGAGGACGAUCAGCCACACUGGGACUGAGACACGGCCCAGACUCCUACGGGAGGGCAGCAGUGGGGAAUCUUGCGCAAUGGGCGAAAGCCUGACGCAGCGACGCCGCGUGCGGGAAGAA